GACGAACGCUGGCGGCGUGCUUAACACAUGCAAGUCGAACGGUAAGGCCCUUCGGGGUACACGAGUGGCGAACGGGUGAGUAACACGUGGGUGAUCUGCCCUGCACUUCGGGAUAAGCCUGGGAAACUGGGUCUAAUACCGGAUAGGACCACUGCCUGCAUGGGUGGUGGUGGAAAGCUUUUGCGGUGUGGGAUGGGCCCGCGGCCUAUCAGCUUGUUGGCGGGGUGAGGGCCUACCAAGGCGACGACGGGUAGCCGGCCUGAGAGGGUGACCGGCAACCGUGGGACUGCGAUAAGGCCCAGACGCCUGCGGGAGGCAGCAGUGGGGAAUAUUGCACAAUGGGCGCAAGCCUUAUGCAGCGACGCCGCGUGAGGGAUGACGGCCUUCGGGUUGUAAACCUCUUUCAGCACCGACGAAGCGCAAGUGACGGUAGGUGCAGAAGAAGGACCGGCCAACUACGUGCCAGCCGCCGCAGUAA
rnacentral:rRNA from 1 species